rnacentral:rRNA from 1 species
AAUUAAAUAGCCGCAAUUUUCUGUGCUAAGGUAGCAUAAUCAUUUGUUUUUUAAUUAAAAACUAGAAUGAAAGGUAAAACAUUUAAAUUACUUUAUUAAAUUAAUAUUUUAAAUUUAUAUUAAAUAUAAAAAUAUAUUUUUAAUAAAAAAAGACGACAAGACCCUAUUAAACUUAACUUAUGUUAAACUGGGGCAGUUUACUAAUAAAAAUUUUAGUUUAAUUUAAUUUUAAUUCAAAAAUAUCUAAUUAUAUUAAAUAAACAAGUUACUAUAGGGAUAACAGCGUUAUAUUUUUUAAAAGUUCAUAUUUAAAAUAAUGAUUGCGACCUCGAUGUUGAAUUAUAUUUCUAUAAUAAAGCAACCAUUUUAUAAGUAGGUCUGUUCGACCUUUAAAAUAUUACAUGAUC